AUGCAAGUCGAACGAUAUUUUCCAGCUUGCUGGGAGAAAAAGUGGCGCACGGGUGCGUAACGCGUAUGCAACCUACCUUAAUCAGGGGGAUAGCCCGAAGAAAUUCGGAUUAACACCGCAUAAAAUCACAGUAUAGCAUUAUACAAUGAUCAAAUAUUUAUAGGAUUAAGAUGGGCAUGCGUGACAUUAGUUAGUUGGCGGGGUAACGGCCCACCAAGACCACGAUGUCUAGGGGAUCUGAGAGGAUGACCCCCCACACUGGUACUGAGACACGGACCAGACUCCUACGGGAGGCAGCAGUAAGGAAUAUUGGUCAAUGGAGGCAACUCUGAACCAGCCAUGCCGCGUGCAGGAAGACAGCCCUCUGGGUCGUAAACUGCUUUUAUUCGGGAAUAAACCUGCUUACGUGUAAGUAGCUGAAUGUACCGAAGGAAUAAGGAUCGGCUAACUCCGUGCCAGCAGCCGCGGUAAUACGGAGGAUCCAAGCGUUAUCCGGAUUUAUUGGGUUUAAAGGGUGCGUAGGCGGCUUUUUAAGUCAGGGGUGAAAGACGGUAGCUCAACUAUCGCAGUGCCCUUGAUACUGAAGAGCUUGAAUGGACUAGAGGUAGGCGGAAUGUGACAAGUAGCGGUGAAAUGCAUAGAUAUGUCACAGAACACCGAUUGCGAAGGCAGCUUACUAUGGUUUUAUUGACGCUGAGGCACGAAAGCGUGGGGAUCAAACAGGAUUAGAUACCCUGGUAGUCCACGCCCUAAACGAUGAAUACUCGCUGUUAGCGAUACACAGUUAGCGGCUAAGCGAAAGCGUUAAGUAUUCCACCUGGGGAGUACGGUCGCAAGAUUGAAACUCAAAGGAAUUGACG
rnacentral:rRNA from 1 species